rnacentral:rRNA from 1 species
GACGAACGCUGGCGGCGUGCUUAACACAUGCAAGUCGAACGGUGAAGGGACCGGUUUUUGCUGUUUCUGGGUGAGUGACGAACGGGUGAGUAACACGUAAGUAACCUGCCCCCUUCUUCUGGAUAACCGCAUGAAAGUGUGGCUAAUGCUGGGUAUUCUGCGCCUGCUGCAUGGGGGGUGUGGGAAAGAUAUUGUUUCGGUGGGGGAUGGGCUGUCGGCCUAUCAGCUUGUUGGUGGGGUGAUGGCGUAGCGAGGGGGUGACGGGAAGAAGGCCUGAGAGGGUGGCCGGCCAGACGGGGACUGCGACACGGCUGGGACUGAUACGGGAGGCAGCAGUGGGGAAGAGUGAGCAGUGGGGGAAAGUCUGAUGCAGCGGCGCCGCGUGAGGGAUGGAGGCCGUCGGGUUGUAAACCUCUUUCGGCAGUGAAGCGGGUCUGCCCGUGUUGUGGGUGGGUUGACGGUAGCUGGAUAAGAAGCGCCGGCUAACUACGUG